rnacentral:lncRNA from 1 species
CUUAACUCUUAGUAACCUUGUUUUAGCAAAGACACAGACCAAAGCAAUAUUAAACCUUUUUUCCAUUCACCAAUUUAUGAAAACACACAUGCUUAAAUAUAUUACCUUAUGUAACUUAAUAAGUAAAGAGUGGUUGAUGUUUCAACAUUUUAGCUUUGUAAAUUAAUCAGAACUUUGUAGAAACCAAGAUCUUAGACAAGUGUAGCAAACAGAACUAGCCAUCUCUUUCUUGUUGAAGAAAAAUCCUUCUACAGGAUACCAUGGUGGUCCCAUUGAUAUACUUAAUAACUCGUCUUUAAAAAGCCAUGGGCUACAUUUUUGUAUUGUAUCAACAUAUGCCCUAAUUGUUCUUGGUCUCACUGGGGUGCCUCCUUCCUCUAACAAUUUCUCUUGCUGGGAGGCGAACAACUUCAAACCUUGAGUCAACCAUUUUCCCCAGUUUGCCUGAGAAAGUUCUAGGAACAGGCAACUUGAAAUAAAAACAAAAUAAAUCAAAACAAUAACACAUUGUUUUUUGAAAUGUUCACCCAUUCUUUCUCUCUUCCUCAAGGGUGAGAAAUUUCACUUACCUCUAAGCUUCAGAAGUUCCC